AUGCUCUCCUGUACUUACACAUUAGUUACAGUAUACAUGCACAGUGAUAACGUGGUCAUUUCCCUUGUUUCACUUUAUUUUUCUCUGUUCACUCUUGUUUCUGCUUGUUACAGGCAACAGUGUCUCGCUUUAAUUUACAGCCCGUGCUCCUGUACCUACACAUUAGUUACAGUAUACUUGCACAGUGAUAACGUGGUCAUUUCCCUUGUUUCACUUUAUUUUUCUCUGUUCACUCUUGUUUCUGCUUGUUACAGGCAACAGUGUCUCGCUUUAAUUUACAGCCCGUGCUCCUGUACCUACACAUUAGUUACAGUAUACAUGCACAGUGAUAACGUGGUAAUUUCCCUUGUUUCACUUUAUUUUUCUCUGUUCACUCUUGUUUCUGCUUGUUACAGGCAACAGUGUCUCGCUUUAAUUUACAGCCCGUGCUCCUGUACCUACACAUUAGUUACAGUAUACAUGCACAGUGAUAACGUGGUAAUUUCCCUUGUUUCACUUUGUUUUUCUCUGUUCACUCUUGUUUCUGCUUGUUACAGGCAACAGUGUCUCGCUUUAAUUUACAGCCCGUGCUCCUGUACCUACACAUUAGUUAUAGUAUACAUGCACAGUGAUAACGUGGUCAUUUCCCUUGUUUCACUUUAUUUUUCUCUGUUCACUCUUGUUUCUGCUUGUUACAGGCAACAGUGUCUCGCUUUAAUUUACAGCCCGUGCUCCUGUACUUACACAUUAGUUACAGUAUACUUGCACAGUGAUAACGUGGUCAUUUCCCUUGUUUCACUUUAUUUUUCUCUGUUCACUCUUGUUUCUGCUUGUUACAGGCAACAGUGUCUCGCUUUAAUUUACAGCCCGUGCUCCUGUACUUACACAUUAGUUACAGUAUACUUGCACAGUGAUAACGUGGUCAUUUCCCUUGUUUCACUUUAUUUUUCUCUGUUCACUCUUGUUUCUGCUUGUUACAGGCAACAGUGUCUCGCUUUAAUUUACAGCCCGUGCUCCUGUACCUACACAUUAGUUACAGUAUACAUGCACAGUGAUAACGUGGUAAUUUCCCUUGUUUCACUUUAUUUUUCUCUGUUCACUCUUGUUUCUGCUUGUUACAGGCAACAGUGUCUCGCUUUAAUUUACAGCCCGUGCUCCUGUACCUACACAUUAGUUAUAGUAUACAUGCACAGUGAUAACGUGGUAAUUUCCCUUGUUUCACUUUUUUUUCUCUGUUCACUCUUGUUUCUGCUUGUUACAGGCAACAGUGUCUCGCUUUAA
rnacentral:lncRNA from 1 species